GAUGAAGAACGUAGCGAAAUGCGAUAAGUAAUGUGAAUUGCAGAAUUCAGUGAAUCAUCGAGUCUUUGAACGCACAUUGCGCCCCCUGGUAUUCCGGGGGGCAUGCCUGUCCGAGCGUCAUUGCUGCCCUCAAGCACGGCUUGUGUGUUGGGCCCCCGUCCCCGGUUUCCCCCGGGGACGGGCCCGAAAGGCAGCGGCGGCACCGCGUCCGGUCCUCGAGCGUAUGGGGCUUUGUCACCCGCUCUGUAGGCCCGGCCGGCGCCAGCCGACAACCAACUUUAUUUCUAAGGUUGACCUCGGAUCAGGUAGGGAUACCCGCUGAACUUAAGCAUAUCAAUAAGCGGAGGA
rnacentral:misc_RNA from 1 species